AAGAGCAUUUCCUGUGUGAGGCUGCUGGUAGGAAAUGUGAGAAUAGGCCACCACAAUGCGGCAUAACAAACAGACUCGCGCUGCAGCUGCAAGGCUUAUCAACUAGUCGAUAUCAGAGGUAUGCCAUCUUGAAUUCAGCAGAUGAGUGGAUAACAAUGGGUUCCAAUCUUUCCUCUAAUAGUACAGGUCCUGCGCAGUCUCACAGUUGGUCGAAACUAGCCAGCAUUUCAACAGUGGUCGUGUUGACUGUGCUUUGGUGUUUUGUUUUUCUUCUGGUAUUCAUUAUCUGCUUAUUUUUAUUGAAAACUCGAGAUGAGGUCGCAAACGCAGAUGUCUCUUUAAAUGAGGUCUCUGAAAAGACGAAGAAAAGACAAAAUCAUAAAAGUUACAAAGAGAGGGUAAACUCAGUUUACUAUGAGUGGUUUAGGGAUUCCUCACCGCCGAAGAAACCCAUUAAUUUAGAGACAUACGAAAUGGUAGAUAUGUCUUAAUGCAGUUAUAAGUGCAAGCACUAGCAAAAGACUUUUUUUUUCUAACAUGCAAUGCAGACAAUUAUUAUAAAAUCUGCUGAAAUAAAAAUCAGUAUUGUUUUGUUUUCACUUGUCAUGAUAAUCCAGCAGAAGGCGCUGUUGCAUUAAAUCAGUAAUGGAUGCAGUUACAUAUAUGUAUAUAUAUAUAUAUAUAUAUAUAUAUAUAUAUAUAUAUAUAUAAUUUUAUAAAUAUAUAAAAGGUUCACCCCAAAAAUGAUGAUUCUGUCAUCAUUUACUCCAUGUCGUUCCAAACCUAUUUGACUUUUUCUUCUGUGGAACAUAAAAGAAGAUAUUUUGAGAAAUGUCUGUUUUUUUGUCCAUACAAUGGAAGUCAAUAGUCACCUAAAAUGUUUGGUUACCAACAUUAAAUAUCUUCAUUUGUGUUUCAGAGAGAAAAGAAAGUCAUACAUGUAUAGAACAGCAUGAUUACUGGACAGAUUGAAGAAGUUUGUGUAUAUUCAAAUAUACAUUUCUUCCACAAUUAUAAGACCUCUAGCAGAAAGUUACAUUUUUUAUUAUAAAGGCAAAACAUUUGCAUAAUUAAGCAUGAUUAGCAUAAUAUAGGAAUUUUUAAUCCUUAAAAUAACACUCCACUUUUUUUGAAAAUAGGCUCAUUUUCCAACUCCAGUAGAGUUAAACAGUUGAAUUUUACCGUUUUCGAAUCCAUUCAGCCGAUCUCUGGGUCUGGCGGUACCACUUUUAGCAUAGCUUAGCAUAGUUCUUUGAAUCUGAUUAGACCGUUAGCAUCUCGUUAAAAUCACAACUUUUCAUUUUCCGUCGGUCUUAGUACACGAUGUAACUACAGAAGAGUCAAGUUUUAAAUAGGAAAAAUAUUGAAACUCUUUGGUCAUUUUUUAACGAGAUGCUAACGGUCUAAUCAGAUUCAAUGAA